CCUACGGGAGGCAGCAGUAGGGAAUCUUCCACAAUGGGCGAAAGCCUGAUGGAGCAACGCCGCGUGGGUGAAGAAGGCCUUCGGAUCGUAAAACCCUGUUGUCAGAGAAGAAAGUGCGUGAGAGUAACUGUUCACGUUUCGACGGUAUCUAACCAGAAAGCCACGGCUAACUACGUGCCAGCAGCCGCGGUAACACGUAGGUGGCAAGCGUUAUCCGGAUUUAUUGGGCGUAAAGGGAACGCAGGCGGUCUUUUAAGUCUGAUGUGAAAACUAUGGGCUUAACCGAAGUAGUGCAUUGGAAACUGGAAGACUUGAGUGCAGAAGAGGAGAGUGGAACUCCAUGUGUAGCGGUGAAAUGCGUAGAUAUAUGGAGGAACACCAGUGGCGAAAGCGGAUCUCUGGUCUGUAACUGACGCUGAGGUGCGAAAGCGUGGGUAGCAAACAGGAUUAGAUACCCGGGUAGUC
rnacentral:rRNA from 1 species